UCAGUAUGAAUGGUGGGAGCUGCAGGGAGCGAGUGUGGUGCAGCAGUUUGACAAAGUUUGUGAGAGGAGACAGAAAUAGAGACAGAGAGACAGAAAAGCGCGCACAUGGUUUGCUGGAUGAUUUUAUUUUUUCUUAACUCCGCGCUGCAAAAAGUUUGAAAGUGAAAGACAAAUGUGUGUGUGUGUGUGUGUGUGUCAGGUCACACUGGUGCAAACUCAAAGCGCACCUCGCAAAUGUUGGCUGAGUUUAAACAGAAAAGACGUGCAGAGUUUGGCGGCCAGUCAUGUGGGUUUCUCGCCAACGAGGCCGAACGGAGGAGGCACCUCGACACAAAGCAUCUAAAUCACACAAACAAAGGGACUGCGGACAUGUUUCCUCAGCUCAGAGGUUUUGGACCCAAACCAAACACCAGUUUUCACUGAAGACUUUCUGAUGAAGAGGAGGAUGAAGAGAGACACACUGGUAAGUGACAACAAGCUGGACAUUAGUUGUUUUUUUUUCAGCAUUGACUUGGACUGCACCUCUAGGAGAUCCUGUUAUUUCCCAUUUAGUUGUGUGAGCCGGUCGAGGGGAGUUGCUUCAUCGUUUCUGCUUGAGGAGGUUCAGUAAGACAAAUCAAAACAUUUAAAGAGAAGAUAACACAGUGGUGGAUUUGUAAAGAAAACAGAAGGAUAAAAAGCAGCAAGGAAUGAAGCGACAGGUUGGAAAUAUAUUUAGAAGUUUGAGGGGAUUUCUGUCUGCCAGGCGCUGCAUGGCAUGUUUUAGUUCUGCUUCUGUUCAGGCUUCAAAAAGCGGUUGUUGAAUCCUCUUAUUUGUGUGAAGAUCACGAGGAGAGAUUUUCCUACAGCAAUAAAUAGCUCGGCAUGCAAAGCUCAGGUUCGCCUUGUGCAGCGCUGGGCUAAAAAUAGGAAAUGUAAUGUAAAAUCUGAUGGUGGAUAAUCACAGAGACGGCGAGCAGCGCCGUGAGGGACGACUGUUUUCAGUUUUGCUGGCAGCCGGUCAGGUUGCGGCAAAAUAUUGGCUAAAUUUGGCACUUGGCAUGUAACCUGCAGGUCCCAACUUAGCCGUGUAAUCACAGAGUGACGCACUGACCGCACCUCUGAAGGGCUAAAGCGAAAGUGGCGGCGUUGCGUCUCCCGGCGAUAUCACAGCAGCUGUCCUCACAUGGGAUGAGGUGAUGAAAGGGCUCCGGCUCUGGAGCGCUUCAGUCACUUUGAUCGACCUGUUUGCAGAGUCUGCCGGUGACGUUAGCAGGAGUUUCACAGACGCACAUUAUAUAAGAUCUGUAGGCUUUGUUCUAUCGGCGUACACAAGAGACACAACUAUCAAUAACACACAUGCUCCACAUUCACCUUUUGAAUCAACAGAGAGUCUCUUUGUGAGUGGGCAAGCCAUAAGUGAUGACUGUACUUCUUCACGGAUUCAGUGCUGCUGUGUAGUUUUGCAAUAAUAUGCCAGACGUCCGCUGACGCAUCGAGAUUUUUAACCCUUUCGUGAACGAAGCGGCAGAAAUAUUUGACAUACAGACUCGCUGUUUAUGUGUUUAUCCUUCCAGAACAGAAAAUACGACUAUAUGGGCCGUGUUUGUCUCUAAGGUGACGUCCAAUUUCAUUGUAAAGCAGCGUGUUAAAUCAGAAACAAGUGUUUUAAAAUUGCCAUAAUCUCCGUCUUUCUUGUACGAGUUUGUAAAAUCCAUCUGUGCUUACUUUGUGGUUGCUUAGUUAUAGAGUCAUAGAAAUCAGGGAAGAACAUGCAGCGGCUGAUUAAACCCAGUUAGACAGCGAGCGUCGGUGUUGAUGUUUUAGAAACAUGUUAACUCUGCAUGAGGAGUUUCCUGAAAAAGGUCGGCUUUCAGUGACAUAAAGCUGUACAUGCACACAUAGUGAAAACUGCUUGAACCAGGCCUCACCCAUAGACUGUACCUAAAACAUGCACAUAGCCACCAUGACGCCACCCAUUUGUUUUCCUGUUUUCAAGCCUCAGGUUGGAAUGUUGCCAUCAGCACCUUUUUGUCUUUUGAAACUACAGUGACAAACACAAGGCAGCUCCGUCCUAAAGCUUUGCCGUCUACGCUCCUUCUAAAUUUACAAACUGAACAUCAAGCUGGAUUAAAGGAGACUUUAAAGCAGCAAUUUAGACCAGAAACUCAUUUAAAAAAAGGUUUACUGAGAUUAUGGAUCAAAGGAGAAGUCGGCUCAUUUUCUCAUAAACUUCUACACAAUCUGCCAUUUUUUGCAGCCACAAUAGUCGCCCCCUGCUGGCCGUUAGAAAGAGUGCAGGCUUAAGGCGUGUGUGCCUUAGUUUCACUUUCCAGACCUGGAGAUGCAGUCGUCCUCAAAUGUAUUCAUCCCCUUGUAUUAAAGAAAAG